CUCAACCUCACCUUGGCCGCUCCUGGUCCGACCACGAUUCAGACGGUGUGCGGCGCUGUCAAGUGCGCCGUGGUUCUCGUAACCGGCAGGCCGGUGGUGAUCGAGCCCUACCUUCCGGGGAUGGAUGCGCUGGUGGCCGCUUGGCUGCCUGGUUCCGAGGGCCAAGGCGUUGCCGACGUCCUGUUUGGGGACUACGAAUUUACGGGAAGGCUCCCCAGCACCUGGUUCAGGUCUGUGGACCAGCUUCCCAUGAAUGCCGGUGAUGCACAUUACGAUCCCCUAUUCCCCUUGGGCUUCGG
rnacentral:lncRNA from 1 species